rnacentral:rRNA from 1 species
GAUGAACGCUGGCGGCGUGCCUAAUACAUGCAAGUCGAGCGAACAGAUGAGGAGCUUGCUCCUCUGACGUUAGCGGCGGACGGGUGAGUAACACGUGGAUAACCUACCUAUAAGACUGGGAUAACUUCGGGAAACCGGAGCUAAUACCGGAUAAUAUAUUGAACCGCAUGGUUCAAUAGUGAAAGACGGCUUUGCUGUCACUUAUAGCUGGAUCCGCGCCGCAUUAGCUAGUUGGUAAGGUAACGGCUUACCAAGGCAACGAUGCGUAGCCGACCUGAGAGGGUGAUCGGCCACACUGGAACUGAGACACGGUCCAGACUCCUACGGGAGGCAGCAGUAGGGAAUCUUCCGCAAUGGGCGAAAGCCUGACGGAGCAACGCCGCGUGAGUGAUGAAGGUCUUCGGAUCGUAAAACUCUGUUAUUAGGGAAGAACAAAUGUGUAAGUAACUAUGCACGUCUUGACGGUACCUAAUCAGAAAGCCACGGCUAACUACGUG